rnacentral:rRNA from 1 species
UACGGAGGAUGCAAGCGUUAUCCGGAAUGAUUGGGCGUAAAGCGUCCGCAGGUGGCUGUGUAAGUCUGCUGUUAAAGAGUCUAGCUCAACUAGAUACAAGCAGUGGAAACUACACGGCUAGAGUACGUUCGGGGCAGGAGGGAAUUCCUGGUGUAGCGGUGAAAUGCGUAGAUAUCAGGAAGAACACCGGUGGCGAAAGCGCUCUGCUAGGCCGCAACUGACACUGAGGGACGAAAGCUAGGGGAGCGAAUGGG